rnacentral:rRNA from 1 species
CAGCCGCCACGGUAAUACGAAGGGUGCAAGCGUUACUCGGAAUUACUGGGCGUAAAGCGUGCGUAGGUGGUGGUUUAAGUCCGUUGUGUAAGCCCUGGGCUCAACCUGGGAAUUGCAGUGGAUACUGGGUCACUAGAGUGUGGUAGAGGAUAGUGGAAUUUCCGGUGUAGCAGUGAAAUGCGUAGAGAUCGGAAGGAACAUCUGUGGCGAAGGCGACUAUCUGGGCCAACACUGACACUGAGGCACGAAAGCGUGGGGAGCAAACAGGAUUAGAUACCCCAGUAGUCCCUGUCUCUUAUAC